UGAUUUAUUUUCAUUUAAGCACUUUAGAGGAAUUUCAUCUUUCAGCUUUCUUGGCCCCGGGAGUGCUCGGUCUCUGAUCAGCAGGGGCAUUUUCUCUAUAUAAGAAGAAAAUGGAGACUCCCUACCCACCCGAUGUAUUUUGUCGGACAGUUUUCUGUACAUUGCAGUCACCAAUAUAUCCAAAUAUCAUCACCGGCCCAGACGUCAUUCACUCCUUUGAACUGUGCUGGUAGCAGUAAGGUGUCAUCAUUUGAGAUGGUCACAGUAUCCAAUACACUGAAGUCACAGGACUCAAAUUUCAUACAUGUUCACAGCACUUUAGAGGAAUUUCAUCUUUCAGCUUUCUUGGCCCCGGGAGUGCUCGGUCUCUGAUCAGCAGGGGCAUUUUCUCUAUAUAAGAAGAAAAUGGAGACUCCCUACCCACCCGAUGUAUUUUGUCGGACAGUUUUCUGUACAUUGCAGUCACCAAUAUAUCCAAAUAUCAUCACCGGCCCAGACGUCAUUCACUCCUUUGAACUGUGCUGGUAGCAGUAAGGUGUCAUCAUUUGAGAUGGUCACAGUAUCCAAUACACUGAAGUCACAGGACUCAAAUUUCAUACAUGUUCACAGCACUUUAGAGGAAUUUCAUCUUUCAGCUUUCUUGGCCCCGGGAGUGCUCGGUCUCUGAUCAGCAGGGGCAUUUUCUCUAUAUAAGAAGAAAAUGGAGACUCCCUACCCACCCGAUGUAUUUUGUCGGACAGUUUUCUGUACAUUGCAGUCACCAAUAUAUCCAAAUAUCAUCACCGGCCCAGACGUCAUUCACUCCUUUGAACUGUGCUGGUAGCAGUAAGGUGUCAUCAUUUGAGAUGGUCACAGUAUCCAAUACACUGAAGUCACAGGACUCAAAUUUCAUACAUGUUCACAGGUAGGUGUAUAGUCUUUGAAAUUACCACAAUUGACUAAUUCUGGGACAGGUAAGUAUGUAAGUAUAGGAAUGAGAGCACCAAAUCCCCGGAUGCACACAUGGCUUUGUUUGUUAUGGAACAUUAAACAGAAUACUGAAUGGGUAGGCGUUACGCCAUUGGCUGAAAUCAGGUAUUUAAUU